UGCCUUUCUAAAGACUCCGCUAAGGAGCACCUUGAAAGGCUAGUUUAUAAAUAAACUAGGUC
rfam:Bean yellow disorder virus segment RNA 1, complete sequence.